UACGUAGGGUGCAAGCGUUGUCCGGAAUCAUUGGGCGUAAAGAGCUCGUAGGCGGCCCUGUAAGUCCGCUGUGAAAGUCAAGGGCUCAACCCUUGGAUGCCGGUGGAUACUGCAGGGCUAGAGUCCGGAAGAGGCGAGUGGAAUUCCUGGUGUAGCGGUGAAAUGCGCAGAUAUCAGGAGGAACACCGAUGGCGAAGGCAGCUCGCUGGGACGGUACUGACGCUGAGGCGCGAAAGCGUGGGGAGCAAACAGG
rnacentral:rRNA from 1 species